rnacentral:rRNA from 1 species
AACGCGAAGAACCUUACCCAGGCUUGAACAGCGAGUGACAAACUACGAAAGUGGUCUUCCGCAAGGACACUCGUAGAGGUGCUGCAUGGCUGUCGUCAGCUCGUGUCGUGAGAUGUUGGGUUAAGUCCCGCAACGAGCGCAACCCUUGUCUUCUGUUGCCAUCAGGUAAAGCUGGGCACUCUGGAGAGACUGCCGGUGAUAAACCGGAGGAAGGUGGGGAUGACGUCAAGUCAGCAUGGCCUUUAUGUCUGGGGCUACACACGUGCUACAAUGGCCGGCACAAACCGUCGCAAAACCGCGAGGUGGAGCUAAUCGGAUAAAGUCGGUCUCAGUUCGGAUAGCAGGCUGCAACUCGCCUGCUUGAAGUUGGAAUCGCUAGUAAUCGCGGAUCAGCACGCCGCGGUGAAUACGUUCCCGGGCCUUGUACACACCGCUCGUC